rnacentral:tRNA from 1 species
GGAUUGUGGCUCAGUGGUAGAGUGCUCCCCUAGCACGGGUGGUACCUGGGUUCGAUCAUCAGCACCA